UACGUAGGGCGCAAGCGUUGUCCGGAAUUAUUGGGCGUAAAGAGCUCGUAGGUGGCUUGUCGCGUCUGUCGUGAAAGCCCCGGGGCUUAACUCCGGGUCUGCGGUGGAUACGGGCAGGCUAGAGGCAGGUAGGGGAGAAUGGAAUUCCCGGUGUAGCGGUGAAAUGCGCAGAUAUCGGGAGGAACACCGGUGGCGAAGGCGGUUCUCUGGGCCUGUACUGACGCUGAGGAGCGAAAGCGUGGGGAGCGAACAGG
rnacentral:rRNA from 1 species